GUGUUAUAUGUUGUCACACGGGACUGCCGGUCCUUAAAGACCGGAGGAAGGUGGGGAGUGAUGUCAAGUCAGCAUGGCCUUUAUAUCCUGGGCUACACACACGCUACAAUGGCCAACACAAUAGGUUGCUAAGCCGCGAGGUGGCGCCAAUCCAUAAAGUUGGUCUCAGUUCAGAUUGUAGGCUGCAACCCGCCUGCAUGAAGAUGGAGUUGCUAGUAACCGCAGGUCAGCUAUACUGCGGUGAAUACGUUCCCGGGGCUU
rnacentral:rRNA from 1 species